rnacentral:rRNA from 1 species
UACGUAGGGUGCAAGCGUUAAUCGGAAUUACUGGGCGUAAAGCGUGCGCAGGCGGCUUUGCAAGACAGAUGUGAAAUCCCCGGGCUUAACCUGGGAACUGCAUUUGUGACUGCAUGGCUGGAGGUGCGGGCAGAGGGGGAUGGAAUUCCGCGUGUAAGCAGUGAAAUGCGUAGAUAUGCGGAGGAACACCGAUGGCGAAGGCAAUCCCCUGGGCCUGCACUGACGUCAUGCACGAAAGCGUGGGGAGCAAACAGG